GCAACCAGCAACUCCGUCGGCCAUGGAAGUUGGAAGCUAAGGGAACAGAUGAAAGAGAAAACUGCCUGAGAUUGAAGAAAGAAGGAGAGCGGACAAAAAAUCAAGUGCUCAGCUGCUGCCAAGCACUCGAGUGUAGAAUAGACAAGCCCUAAUAUUAUUAGAUGGGCAUGGAAUUGUUUUGGUUCAAAUUCUACCCACAAAUGUUCAGAGCACCUUUAUUUGUUGAAUUGUGCAACUUAGUAGCCUGAAGGUAUUAUGGUGUUUUAACUUUUAAACAAUAUACGUGGAAAAACUAUGCAACACUUAUGACCCUAUUUUGAUACGGCUAGCUUGGGAGCCCCAAUAACACAUGAUGAAAGAAUAUGAGACCGCUCAACUUGAUGCAGCCUUGUUGGAUGUAAUUUCCUGCUCAUGGUAUGCUAUUGUCAGCCUCAGGUGCACCUUGUAACUUGGCUCAUGAAGGCUUUUGUAAUGUGUCUUUCCGAAACAUAGUUUUGCCCUUGUUUGCAGUAAAACCUCUUCUAGUUAUCUAGGACCGGACAGUUAAUUUGGCAUUUUUUCACUAUAAUUGUUAUAUCAUCUAUACAUGAGAUCUGAGUAUCUGCUGUUCCAUAAUUUAUAAGCAACAUAGUUUUGCCCUUGUUUGCAGUAAAACCUCUUCUAGUUAUCUAGGAUCG
rnacentral:lncRNA from 1 species